UCCCUGAUAGCUCAGCGGUAGAGCAUCCGACUGUUAAUCGGACGGUCGUAGGUUCGAAUCCUACUCAGGGAG
rfam:Sphingomonas sp. MCT13 MCT13_NODE_13_length_131106_cov_31.4644_ID_937, whole genome shotgun sequence.